UUCUGCUCAAAGCCUGGGGCAUCUGCUAGGAGCUCAGAACUGCAAGGGACACAAGACGGCGGCACCCUGGACAGGACAGGGAAGAAAAUACCAGCCAAAACAGUUCUGCAGGGCUAACUGGGGGACUCAGGCCAGAUCACCAUGACUGAAACAUACAGAAGAUCAACACUGAGGCAGCCAAUCAGGCCAUCCGAGUGACACGCCUUUGCACAGAUGUCACACUGACAGGUGAUGGUCCUUGAGGGGUGGCACUUGUCCAGACGUCACCCUCAAACCUGCGGGGGCCCACAGCUGCUGUCAGGAUGAAAAAGGCAUUUUUAAUCUGUCACCGGAAAUGGCUCCGGUUCCCUGCUGGCCCCGGUUCUCCUGGUCCCGGGAAUGCUCGUCCCAGACAGCGCUGGGAUCUCCGCUUGUCUCAGAUAUGACAGUGAAGGCGGCAGCUCCGUGCCUGUCAGUCUGCUGGCGAUGUGAGCGAUUACCGGCGAUGUCAUCGGCAGCUGUGCUCGUCCUCAGGGCCGGCGGUCCUGCCUCAGGAACAUCAUUAUUUUGAAUUAAUCGUCCUUUUAGACAGUCAGGUAAAUGUAGCCAGUUUAUUAAGAUUCUUCUGAUAAAACCUCUCUUCCCCCGAUGUGGCACUUUAACAUGAAACCGUCUGUCAGAUAAUGUGUAUCCUGGUGUGAUGUUGAGGGGAAUCUGCGAUGCUCUGUCCCAGAAGUGUGCAAACUGGGGGGCGCGAUGGAAUUACAGGUGGAGCACAGGAGAGGGAAAAAACAGAAGUGGGGGUGGGGUUUGAGCUGGGGACAGAACACAUUAUGUGCCUGAACACAUUACAUGAAGCUAACUAAUUAAAAUUAUUAAAAUGUGUAAAAUAGACAGGCACCACAUAUUGAAUACACUGAACUGUUGCGACUAGUGACAAAAUGAUACAAUGGGAAAGGUGCUCAGUUAAUGCUUAUGUAGUUGGAGGAACAAUGGAGAAAUUUGUAGCUGCUAGUGUUAAAACGUGAUGACAAAGCAACACGUGAAAUGAGUAGAAACAGAAAAUAUGACACUGCAUAUCUGGAAUACCGUUCUGUGUGUCUGUGUGUGUGAGGGGGUGGAGAGGGGUCAGGACGAAUAUGUCCAACCUGUCUUUUCCUGGGAACCAGGUGUAAAGCCUCCAGCCAAUCAGAAUCAGUACUAACGACCUGGGGGAACUGAAAAUAUGGACUGGAUUUGAAAUCGAGGGCCAGAAUUGAAGAGCCCUGAUCUAGAGCAUUCUGUCCAAAAAUGAAAUUAAAAUGAAAUGAAAUUGUCCAUUUGUUUGUCUUCAGGUGAAAAGUUGAAGUGUGUAACUGACUCAUUUGCAGAAUAAGAGAAAUGGCUUCAGACGACCAGCCUUUUUGUUCCUCUUUUGUCACCUGCUUGAUAAUGUUCCAGAAAGGUGUUAAAUACAACAGCAUCAACUGUCCUUAUGUUUGUUAGCUAGUGACAGAGAUAUUCAGUGAGAGUCCCAGGUGGAAGAUUGUCAAUCAGCACAUGAAAUAUGAAAUAAUAAUCUCUCCAUCGCAUGUGUGUAUAAAACAUUCAGCGCUUUGUACAUCAGUGCCUCUGGCUCCUUUCAUUUUGUAGCACUCCUCCGCCAUGAUCAAACGCAUUUUCCCUGCGCUUAAGUCCCCGGACCCGAAAGGGGACAUCAUUUUUUUCUUGAU